rnacentral:rRNA from 1 species
GAUGAACGCUGGCGGCGUGCCUAAUACAUGCAAGUCGAGCGAAUGGAUUAAGAGCUUGCUCUUAUGAAGUUAGCGGCGGACGGGUGAGUAACACGUGGGUAACCUGCCCAUAAGACUGGGAUAACUCCGGGAAACCGGGGCUAAUACCGGAUAACAUUUUGAACCGCAUGGUUCGAAAUUGAAAGGCGGCUUCGGCUGUCACUUAUGGAUGGACCCCCGUCGCAUUAGCUAGGUGGUGAGGUAACGGCUCACCAAGGCAACGAUGCCUAGCCGACCUGAGAGGGUGAUCGGCCACACUGGGACUGAGACACGGCCCAGACUCCUACGGGAGGCAGCAGUAGGGAAUCUUCCGCAAUGGACGAAAGUCUGACGGAGCAACGCCGCGUGAGUGAUGAAGGCUUUCGGGUCGUAAAACUCUGUUGUUAAGGAAGAACAAGUGCUAGUUGAAUAAGCUGACACCUUGACGGUACCUAACCAGAAAGCCACGGCUAACUACGUGCCAGCCGCCGCGGUAA